UGCCGCAGAAGUUCAACAUCUUCGAAUAUUGUUCUUGCCUUUUACCAGAGCAAUCCGGGUGUAGACUUUAUAAUGCGGUUGAUGAAGUUUUUGGAAAUAUUUGUUUAUCAAUU
rnacentral:snRNA from 1 species